AUUGAACGCUGGCGGCAUGCCUUACACAUGCAAGUCGAACGGUAACGGGCCUUCGGGUGCCGACGAGUGGCGAACGGGUGAGUAAUACAUCGGAACGUGCCCGAUCGUGGGGGAUAACGAGGCGAAAGCUUUGCUAAUACCGCAUACGAUCUACGGAUGAAAGCAUUGGACCGCAAGGCCUUGCGCGGACGGAGCGGCCGAUGGCAGAUUAGGUAGUUGGUGGGUUAAAAGCUUACCAAGCCGACGAUCUGUAGCUGGUCUGAGAGGAUGAUCAGCCACACUGGGACUGAGACACGGCCCAGCCUCCUACGGGAGGCAGCAGUGGGGAAUUUUGGACAAUGGGCGCAAGCCUGAUCCAGCCAUGCCGCGUGCAGGAUGAAGGCCUUCGGGUUGUAAACUGCUUUUGUACGGAACGAAAAGCCUUCUUUUAAUACAGGAGGGUCAUGACGGUACCGUAAGAAUAAGCACCGGCUAACUACGUG
rnacentral:rRNA from 1 species